AUCUUUUUCUGGUUCAUAAGCAUGGUAACUGGGUAUUCACAUGUUUGUGUGACAUGUGCCUCCCUUAAAUUUGUUACGCAUUUGGGACAUUACCCACCUGACU